rnacentral:rRNA from 1 species
UACGGAGGGUGCAAGCGUUUAUCCGGAUUUACUGGGUUUAAAGGGUGCGUAGGUGGGUAGGAAAGUCAGUGGUGAAAUCUUCGGGCUUAACCCGGAAACUGCCAUUGAUACUAUUUAUCUUGAAUACUUUGGAGGUAAGCGGAAUAUGUCAUGUAGCGGUGAAAUGCUUAGAUAUGACAUAGAACACCAAUUGCGAAGGCAGCUUACUACAACAGUUAUUGACACUGAGGCACGAAAGCGUGGGGAUCAAACAGG